AACUGGGAUUAGAUACCCCACUAUGCCUAGCCCUAAACAUUGAUAGUACUCUACACCCACUAUCCGCCCGGGAACUACGAGCAUCAGCUUGAAACCCAAAGGACUUGGCGGUGCUUUAGAUCCACCUAGAGGAGCCUGUUCUA
rnacentral:rRNA from 1 species